UACGUAGGGGGCAAGCGUUGUCCGGAAUUAUUGGGCGUAAAGAGCGUGUAGGCGGCCCGGUAAGUCCGCUGUGAAAGUCGGGGGCUCAACCCUCGGAUGCCGGUGGAUACUGUCGGGCUUGAGUACGGAAGAGGCGAGUGGAAUUCCUGGUGUAGCGGUGAAAUGCGCAGAUAUCAGGAGGAACACCAAUUGCGAAGGCAGCUCGCUGGGACGUAACUGACGCUGAGACGCGAAAGCGUGGGGAGCAAACAGG
rnacentral:rRNA from 1 species